GUGCUUGCUUCAGCAACACAUAUGCUAAAACUGGAAUAAUUACAGAGAUUAGCAUAUCCUUUGCAAAAGAAUGACAUGCAAAUUCAUGAAGCAUCCCAUAUGAAA
ensembl:snRNA U6 U6 spliceosomal RNA